GACGAACGCUGGCGGCGUGCCUAAUACAUGCAAGUAGAACGCUGAAGAGAGGAGCUUGCUCUUCUUGGAUGAGUUGCGAACGGGUGAGUAACGCGUAGGUAACCUGCCUGGUAGCGGGGGAUAACUAUUGGAAACGAUAGCUAAUACCGCAUAAAAUUGAUUAUUGCAUGAUAAUUAAUUGAAAGAUGCAACUGCAUCACUACCAGAUGGACCUGCGUUGUAUUAGCUAGUUGGUGAGGUAACGGCUCACCAAGGCGACGAUACAUAGCCGACCUGAGAGGGUGAUCGGCCACACUGGGACUGAGACACGGCCCAGACUCCUACGGGAGGCAGCAGUAGGGAAUCUUCGGCAAUGGGGGGAACCCUGACCGAGCAACGCCGCGUGAGUGAAGAAGGUUUUCGGAUCGUAAAGCUCUGUUGUAAGAGAAGAACGGGUGUGAGAGUGGAAAGUUCACACUGUGACGGUAUCUUACCAGAAAGGGACGGCUAACUACGUGCCAGCAGCCGCGGUAAUACGUAGGUCCCGAGCGUUGUCCGGAUUUAUUGGGCGUAAAGCGAGCGCAGGCAGUUAGAUAAGUCUGAAGUUAAAGGCUGUGGCUUAACCAUAGUAUGCUUUGGAAACUGUUUAACUUGAGUGCAGAAGGGGAGAGUGGAAUUCCAUGUGUAGCGGUGAAAUGCGUAGAUAUAUGGAGGAACACCGGUGGCGAAAGCGGCUCUCUGGUCUGUAACUGACGCUGAGGCUCGAAAGCGUGGGGAGCAAACAGG
rnacentral:rRNA from 1 species